rnacentral:rRNA from 1 species
AGGACGAACGCUGGCGGCGUGCUUAACACAUGCAAGUCGAGCGGUAAGGCCCUUUCGGGGGUACACGAGCGGCGAACGGGUGAGUAACACGUGAGCAAUCUGCCCUUCACUUCGGGACAAGCCUCGGAAACGGGGUCUAAUACCGGAUAUGACCGCGCUACGCAUGUGGUGUGGUGGAAAGUUCUGGCGGUGGAGGAUGAGCUCGCGGCCUAUCAGCUUGUUGGUGAGGUAAUGGCCUACCAAGGCUUCGACGGGUAGCCGGCCUGAGAGGGUGACCGGCCACACUGGGACUGAGACACGGCCCAGACUCCUACGGGAGGCAGCAGUGGGGAAUAUUGGACAAUGGGCGAGAGCCUGAUCCAGCAACGCCGCGUGAGGAUGACGGCUCGGGUUGUAAACCUCUUCAGCGCCGACGAAGCGAGAGUGACGGUAGGCGCGAGAAGAAGACACCGGCCAACUACGUGCCAGCAGCCGC